GACGAAGGAUGCAAGCGUUAUCCGGAUUCAUUGGGUUUAAAGGGCGCGUAGGUGGCCUUAUAAGUCAGUGGUGAAAUCUCGAGGCUUAACCUCGAAAUUGCCAUUGAUACUGUAGGGCUUGAGUAUAGUUGCCGUUGGCGGAAUAUGACAUGUAGUGGUGAAAUACAUAGAGAUGUCAUAGAACACCGAUUGCGAAGGCAGCUAACGAAACUAUAACUGACACUGAGGCUCGAAAGUGCGGGGAUCAAACAGG
rnacentral:rRNA from 1 species